AACCUUAUGGACCUGCGGGCGUAUACCUGCGGAAGGAUCAUUACAGAGUUGCAAAACUCCCCAAACCAUUGUGAACCUUACCUUCAAACGUUGCUUCGGCGGGCGGGCCACAGCGCCCCCCGGGCCCCCCCAGCGGGGGCGCCCGCCGGAGGAUACCCAAACUCUUGAUACUUUAUGGCCUCUCUGAGUCUUCUGUACUGAAUAAGUCAAAACUUUUAACAACGGAUCUCAGAUCGGAAG
rnacentral:misc_RNA from 1 species